CACUACCAGUUGUACCAGACACAUGCGACCAAACAACAGCCGCAGCCCCUUCACAAGAUCAAACAACAGUCGAAGCAACAACACAAGGUA